UUGUUGCUUUGCACAGAAGACAGUUGGUAAAAUCCUGUCGCCACUGAAGUCAAUAAAAUCAGCUUUCUCUCAUGGGGUCUUUUUUUAUGAAUGUUGACUUUAGAAAUGCUAUUGAUUUCUCAAGUAUUGCAGAUCUUUCGUGAACAAACAGAUAAAACUCAGUAAUUACUUACUCAACUGCAGCUAAAGAUUACAUGGACCUGAAGUAAUUGUAUUGAUUAUACAGGUACAUAUGCCCAACGUUCCCUUUGAAGGUUCUGACUCAGUAAAAUUCUGAGAGUGAUUAUAACACCAUUCACACAUCAUUGCCUGGGCAAACACUAGCUUUGCUUCUAAGGAAGACAGUAAAAUUAUCAACAGACACAGCAGUGAAGAGACUCCAGCUGGGAUGGAUUUACUACAGUGGGAAGACACCUCAAGUCUCAAACGCCAGCACUGUAAUAAAACUUGGAGAAGACUCACACCGGCGCUGGAAAAUUAUUUUCAACAGAGAAUGGACAUGUUAAUGACAGAAGAC